rnacentral:rRNA from 1 species
AGUGAACGCUGGCGGCAUGCCUAACACAUGCAAGUCGAACGGCAACACAGUAAGCUCGUGCUCCUACGGUUGGCGAGUGGCGGAUGAGUGAGGAGUACAUCGCCUUCUUCUUUUUCUUGGGUAAUUACGUGGGAAAACUUACGCUAAUAGCGCAUAUGUUGUACGGCAGAGAUCAAUGGUGCAUCAGGCCUUUGGUGUUUCAAUGAGCCGAUGCCGCAUUAGCUAGUUGGCUGGGUAAAGGCCCACCAAGGCAACGAUCCGUAGCUGGUCUGAGAGGAUGAUCGGCCACACUGGAACUGAGACACGGUCCAGACUCCUACGGGAGGCAGCAGUGGGGAAUAUUGCGCAAUGGGCGCAAGCCUGACCGAGCAACGCCGCGUGAGUGAUGAAGGUCUUCGGAUUGUAAAGCUCUUUUGUUGGGAAAGAAAAAAAGCAGAAUAAUCUACGCACGUUUUGACGGUACCUAAAGAGUAAGCCCCGGCUAACUUCGUG